UGUGUGUGGGGGGGGGGGUGCACCUGUUUGAUGAGUUGACAUUUCUUAGCUUUUUUAAUGCACGAGUUGCAUAUGAUUUCUCCGCAUGCGCAAAUUAGUAUUGUCCACAGGAGGUGACUUGCAUAUUGUAUUAAGACAUGUGCAACUAGGGAAUUUUUAAAGUUGUUUUGAGCCCCUGUGCGGAUGACUUGCACAUCGUAUUAUAGCAUGCGCAACUAGAUUUUUUUAAGAAGAUUUUGUCUUACAUGCGUAUUUUUAGGUGACUUAGUAAAUUCGGAUUUCAAUCAAUUUAAUUCGUUGAUUUUAAAAUACCACAGAUUGAAGGGGGGUGGUGAUUGCAUGAUUUUUAUUCUUUUUUCCUUUUUUUAAUUUAAUCCCGGUGUUUUUUCACCACAAAUUACGGGUUCGUUGUGUGUUCUUUUCUUUCAGUUUUCUUUUACUUUCUUUGCGAGUUUUAUUUUUGUUUAUAACGAGACCAAAAGCCCUUGACUCUAUAGGAUAAAAGCUGCAGCAGGAACACAGCUGGAUAGGAGCCCAAUCCUAAAAAGCCCACAAACCAAAAACCCGGUACACAAACAAUAACGUACACAAAAACACAACAAACAACACACUCAGACUCGUUAAUAGGCGCACCCUUUUCCUAGAUGGUUUUUGUGUGUUAUGCCUUUCAGAAGUUCAUCAAGACCAAAGAGUUUGUCAUUGAUAGAGAAUGGCUUUGUUACCGGGCCAGGUAUAUACCGGCACAUUCCCAACCGGAUAUGCUCUGCGACCCGUGUAGCAGAGCACAUCACGUGGGGGAGCAAAGGGAAUAAAGCUUUGGCGCACGGAUCUCAGAGCAUAUCCAACGGUUCAAAACUUGUCG
rnacentral:lncRNA from 1 species